CAGCCAGGAGCAGAGAGCAAGGGACGGAGAAUGUCAGCGAUUCCGGGAGAGCCCGCGAGGGGGCGAGCGACCACCGCUCGGCCGCGAGCUCAGCGCUUCCCUCGCCGCUUCCCAACGGCCAGCAGAGGGCGCGCGCCUGGCGCUGAGCCCAACCGCCGCCUCCAACGGGACUGGACCAGACCGGGUGGGACCGGACCGCGGUUUGAGUCCAAGCCCAGCGGUGUUUGCGGCGGGUCCGGGGCCUGGAAGCGCGGGGGCGGCGCCGAGAACGAAACUGGAAAAUGGCCUUCAUUGGAAAAGCCCCAGUCCUCGGGGAGCAGAUCCCCCAUCUCUGGCAGUGCAGUGUGCCUGGGAGCUGUCUGGAACAUUCCGCAACGGUCACUCCUCUGCCCUGCAUUGGCCUUGACCACAUGACCCAGAGGUGCAGGGAGAAGCCUCCCUUGGAUGCUUGGAGUGACUUCAGCUGCUGAGAGUGUCUAAGGAGAGCCGGGAACACCGCACGCUUCCUGCAGAUGGCGGGGCAGACCUGUGUGCAAGAGUGCCUGAAGGGGAUCUCCCGUGGCGCUACCUGGUCCAGGGAGGUCACAGAGAGCUCCUCCACCCUGAGCACAGGGGGUCCCACCAAGGACAAGGACAAGAUUCAGCACCGUCGCACACAGAACAGCUACCUGGAGCCACAGGUCACUUUCCAAAAAGGGAGUUUCCAGGCCAGAAGCCAUCCCUGCAGCAUUGUCUUUGUGCUCCAAGAGAAGCCCUGGCACACACUUCUGCUCAGAUGGAACCACUGUUCCCUCAGUGUCCUUGUCAGUACCAGCUGGUGACUUUCCUACUCAAACCCUUCCCUCACUCUCUGCCUCAUUUUCUCAAGGUGCCGUGUUUGCCUGAAAGGACAUUGGCAGCCAGCAGGGGCGGCGGCUGGUCCUCUAGAUGGGCACGAAUGCCAUUGGCAGGCAAUGGGGCAGACUCCAUGGAAAGAUGCUUCUCUUCCUCAAGGUAUGCACUCAGCGGGGAGACCUCAUUGUCAAGUUCAGAGUUACGCUGCAGACUGCACAGCACCUCGCCUGCUUCUAGGGCCUGCUCCGGUCAGCCCAGGACCCACCACAGCAGGACCCCCCAUCCUGUGCUCACCCGGGGCUUGUCCAUGGCACUGGAAACUCCUUCCUGUUCCUGAUCCCCCUCUGGGCGAGGGGUGGGCAGGGACAUGUGGCUCGUGCCGAGGUCUAAUACUGUGUUCCCAGCAUGGAAGCAGGUGGGGACACUUCCUGUGGCAUGCAGGAUUCCGUGUAGAAAGCUGUGACUGUCACCCCUCCUCCCCACUCAGUUUUGUUAGUGGACCUUUCCCUGGCCCUUCUCUCCUUGGCCCCCUCUUGGCAGGAGAGAGGAGGAGAGGAUCUCACUUUCCCCCUGUACCAGCCACACCCUCGGUCUGCGGGGUUCCCAGCAGCUGGCCAGGGAUGCUCCACACCUGGAGGUCAAGUAACCGUCCCCUCACUCUGGGCAUCGGUGCCCUCUCUGGGGUUGGAACAGGAAAGAAAGCCAAGACCUGUAUGUGGGACUUGAGUUGAGACUCAAUUCUGUAGAGUCAGGGGUGAGGAGGAGCCAGGCCUCCUGUGUGCUCUCCAUACCCCAGAGCCGGGUGCCCAGUUCCAUGGGUCCUGAUGGACAGAAGGGAAGAACGGGGGGGCUGCUGCACCGUGGGUGGUAAUGCAGUGGGAGCCACCUCCAGCUGAAUGCCCAGGGACUCCUGGGGCUGCUGGCCCCGGGUCCCAGCAGUGGGUCCUGUUUCUUCUUUACUCUUGGAAUGCAGGAUCUGCCACACCAAAACGUCCCCUCCACAUUUGGUGAAAUAGGAAGCUCCAUGGCAUGUCUCCAUCUUUCAAGGUGACUGAGAGGUUUAUUUUCAUAGGAGCCUCAGUGGCCUUGUCCGUACCCACCUCUGCACGUGGUUGCAGAAAGUGAAGGAUUGUCAGGGAGCAGGGCAGACAUUUGGUUUAUCUGUGUCAUUGGUCAAAGUUUUGUUUUUCCUCCAGAAGAAAAAGGCUUGUGAACAUGCCACCGUAUUCUUCAUUCCUUCUUUUGGAAAUGUAUGAAGAACGGGUGGCAUUUUGGAGUUAUUGGCCUGUGAACAGCUGGCCCAGAGGAAGGGUUAGAUGUGGGUGGGUGUGGCCGCCUCUGCCCCUCCCCAGCGCAGGUGUGCGUGGGCAGCCCAGGCAGGCGCUCAGGAAGGGUGAGGUGGAGCCCUGCACGCUCUGAGCACAAAGUCCUGGGAUCCCUUAAACCCAAGCACUGCCUUGACAGCAGCCAGCAUGGCUGAUAGAAGAGACACAGAAGUCCAGCUGAUGCCAGACAGAGGGCGUCACUAGAGAGCCGUGCUAGGUGGGGGUCAUUCAAGUUGUCUUGGCGUAUGCAGACGUUGCUUCUAGAGAGUCAGAAGCUCUAUAUGCGUAGUGUUGGAGCAGAAUUUCGGGAUAGUGAUGGCAAGCCUCCUCCCAAGCCAGCUGGGGAGUAUGGGGAGGGGGUGGCCGGAGGAACCUGGCAUCCCCGGGUUAGGACCACAGAGGUGGCUCUGCCUGCAGCUGGGCCUCUGCCUCAUCCUGACUCCCCCUGCUUUGGCCAUGGCUCUUCUUGUCCUUCCUCUUCUCAGUGCAGGAGGACCCUGAAUCAAAUGCCUCAUCCUGGUUUGCAUUUUACCCUCGGAUGAAGCUUGUGGCGAACCCCUGGACUCUGUGUCUCCUGAGUCUCUGCAGACCUCGGGUCCUGGACCCAGAGACUCUUCUCCCUGGGACAGGAGGCACUGGGGUGGGUGGACAGGGGUGGCCUGGGGCACAGUAGCUGACGGGGGGACUUCCUAGUUUUCUGGGCCUUUCCAACUCUGAGUGUGACCUUCCUAUUCUUGAUCACAGCCCCCAACUUCGGAGCCUGCUAGAGCCUGCAGAAUGUGGCUUCAUCCUCUUCCUCUGUGGGAAAAGGCGGGGCCUGGCAGUCCCGCCAAUCUUGUAUAUUUGCUCCCCACCUCGGUGGUGAAUACAUUCUUGGGUGGUGAAUAGGUUCUCUCCUUGCCUUCACUCUAGAAAAGUCCCCUGUUUUGUGAUGUAGGAUGUGGUCAAUGACUGACUCGUCCCUUUGGACCAUAGACGCAGCUCUGAUUUCUGGUGUUCCUGGGCUCUGCACACAGCAGGAGCCACUCUGGGCUCUGAGAGGUGCAUCUUCUGGCUCACUUUCUUCUUGUUGGCUCUUCUCCCUGCGUCUUCUGCCACUGCCCUGUUCUGGGUGGGAGGCUGUCACACUGUGGUGGAGGGUCCCCUCUCCUGCCUCCCCUCUUUGAUCCUUUUCUGUGAGGGUCUGCUGGGGUCCUGUGUGUCGUGCAUUGUUGAUAGAUUCCUGUCGUGCUUGCUGUCCUCCCCAUUCUAAGGGACCUCUGAUUGCCUGUGAGCAGUUUACAGGGUCCUCUCCUGGCCCCUUCACCCGAGGAAUUCCCGCAACGCAUGAGUUUGUGAGGGGCGGAUCCUGGGAGGAUGUGACGUCAGGUGAGAAGGGAGGGCCCGUCCUAGUCCGGUGGGCUCCUCUAACAAAGUGCAUUAGCCUGGGGAGUUACUGACGCUCGAAAUAUGUCGUCAAAGUUCUGAAGGCUGAGAAGUCCGAGAUCAAGAUGCCUGAGGAUUCAGUGCCUGGUGAGGACCCAUUCCUUAGGGCAGUGCCUCUAGCUGUGUCCUCAUGUGGCCGAAGGGGACAAGGGAGGUUGCUGGAGCCUGUUUGAUGAGAGCACUACCUUCCUUCAGGAGGGGAUUAUUCAGAAAGUCUGUCUGGUUUCAGGGCAUUCCCAAAGGCCCCACCUGUUCAUUCUACCCCAUUGGUAGAAUUCCCAUUGGGAAUUAGGCUUCAACAUACAAAUUUGGGAGACACUGACAUUUAGGCCAUAGCGCGUCAAAGGCAAAGUGAGGCUGAGUGUGGAAACCAUCCCAGAAUCUGGAUGUGGCCCAGGCAGAAGGAAACUCAAAGUGAUGGGGUGACCGAUGGUCCCUGGUCUGUGCAGGACUCAGCGGUGCGGAUGGCCCUGGGCACGGUGGCAGUGGCUGUUGGAGGAUGAUAGGGAACAUGUUGGUGGGGGGAGGGUGGAGCCCACUAUGAGUGGCAACUCCCUGGGGGCACAGGAAACAAAGCUAGAGGUGGCUCCCCUCUCCCCUCCCUGCACACAGUGUCACCUCUGUGGUGGCCCUGUCGUCCGCCUCAGUUCACAGGUGUUGCUGUAACAACUCCUGAAAUUACCUUCAAAAGGAGGCUCGUGCAGGUGCCUGCAGGAGCCAGGAGGCCGAAGUGCAUCCUGAGUGUCCGGGGACAGGCCAGCCUGGCGGGGUCCACGGCCCCACAGUCCCAACGACUGCCUCAGAAAUGGGCAGAGAGCAUGCCUGGUUCUAGCUGGCAAGGCCCACAUCUCAGAGCUGUGGACAGUCAUGAAGGGUCCGUGAGCAUGGAGAGGGGGCAAAAAUGACCCAUGAACCUCAGGCCACUGUGCUGCCAUCCAGCCAAGUGCGGUACCAGCCCUUCGGGCCUCGAGAUCCUCUACCCUUCUCUGGGCCUUGCUGAUUUCCUCCUCCAGCCCCUCUGUUUGUGUACGCACAUACACACAUGCACGCACGCACACGCACACCCAGUGCAAUUUCUCUCUGCUCCCUGUACUCCCCAAAAUUCAAUGGGUUCCUCUUUCCUCCUCAGAGAUAUAGUCCUGGGCCCCAUCUCAGCCUGCAGAGGCCUGAACGUUUCCCAGGAUUGUCUUCUAAUUCUCAGGUCCGGCUUUAAAACAAAACCUAAACUAAAACUAAAAUGCUUUCUGCAAAGAAUAAUACACCAACAUAAAGUCCGGGUAUCCUAAGCAUGUGGUGUGUAUGGUGUCUGAAAUUGAAUAUGCUGUGAAACUGCCUGUGUCGAAAUGCAGUGUUUCCCAAGACCUGGAGGCUCUCUCCAGCUGCUGAUUGUGAUCACCUCUCCCGAUCACCGCUGAGCCCUGCAGGUCACCUUCUCCUGACCUAUUACACCACUGAUUGCUUAUGCUGGGCACAAUUUUAUACCCUUGCUGUUGUUCAGUCUAAUCAUCCCUAUAACCCUAUCGGAUCAUUCCCAUAUGACAGAGGAGAAAACCUGGGGACACAGGGGCUGUGUCCUGGCCAAGGCCUUGCUUGCAGCAAAAGGCAGAGCUGGGGUCUAGCCAGGAGCCCCAGCACAGUCCUGUUCUUCCCCCACUAAACUGAGCUGUGAAAUAGAUCAUGGCAGUUUGGAAAACGGGCUAACUGUAUGCUGAGGGAGGUGGUGACGGAUACCUACUUCUUUUCAUGGGAAGGUGAGGUGUCUCCCUGCCCCCCUCAGGUCUAGCCUCUCUCUGUAGCUCAGAACCUUGGGAAAGUGGGAGGCUCAGAGGAGGAAAGAGAUUUACUUGCCCAAGGGCCGCAGCUGCUAAGUGGCAGGUAAGGGACUGUUAUUCUCCUGUCCCUUUCACAGAGGACAGGAGGAAAGUGAGGACAGGUGGUGUACAUGCAUCUUUUCUGCAGCAGGCCCAGAUCAGCUUUGCACAUGGUGCUGACCUCAAAUUCAGCCCUAGAGGGGCCUGUCUCUGCCCUGAGUGAGUAUUGAAGUGCAGGCUUCUUCCCCUUUGUUCUGUCCAUUUCCAAAAAUGUGAACACACACCUCCAACAUGUUUCUGUGUAUAUUAUUGUGUGCAUAGAUACUACCAUUGUGAAAUAUUAUGCAGAUUAAUAAUGCACUAUGCCAUUGAAAAUUUCAAAAGAAAUGUGUAAUGAACAUUUAAAAUUAAAAAAAAAAAAAAAAAAAAAAAAAAAAAAAA
rnacentral:lncRNA from 1 species